UUGUAUUCACCUUCAUGUGGAGGGCAAAACUUGAAGUACAGCUAAUCCAAACUAAUGUUUCAAUGUUGAGAUGAAUAGUAAUGACCGUCUCUAAUUACUUCGACUGCAAAUUACAAAAACCGUCCCUGAAUCUGGCGAAGUAUUUAGAAUAGCUUUCUGAAUGACUGUCACACCUGCUAUUAGUUACUAAGAAAAGGUAGUUUAGUCAUCCACAUCAUUUCUACGUCACUCAGUUCUGAGCUCGAUCGUUUUUUUGUUCUUCUCUCUCCAUACCACUCUCUCUCUCCACUCUGCUCCCUCUCCAACUCUCUUGCAAAAUCUCUCGCUGUCUCUCUCUCGCUCUUUUUCUAUUUUUUGCUGUACAAUACCCUACAAUACACUAAACUCAACCCAACCGUGUCCACGAGUGCCAACUGUGGGCCGAUCGCGGUCAGCAGCCCUCUUUCCAUCCCUCUCCCUCGGAGGGUUGAGCCGGAAACGGAAACCCUUUGUGCUGUCAGCUUGGGUGAUGGUGGUUGCAUAUUAUCUCAACCCCCCCCCCCCCCCUUCUCUCCUUCUUCCGUCACUUUUUCCAACAUGCAUGCAGAUUAAUGUACCUCUAUUGUACUUCAGCUUUUUUGGGAUGUGCAUUUUGAGAGGAUCGCGUCAUCGUUCCGAUUCUCCGAUUUGGUGAUUCGGGCGGGAAAAGGGCGAGAGGUGGUGGGCACGUAGUUUAGAAACAUGGCGUCUCCCGUUCUGGCAAGAGUUAUACAACAACAACACACACAAACGCACGGCAAACAAAAGCACAGUGACGUGGCGUUACACGAGCAGCCGAACCUGAAUGGCGUAUUUCACGUUGUCGUUUUUUUGUGUUUCCCCCGUCCCACCAUAUUGUCGGUUGACAAAGUGUGUUGCGGUUUUUCAACGCUAAUAAUGCCACAUGAAAUCCAAUCAUCAGAUAACGCUAGGUCCCAACCAUUAUUUGAGGAAUUGUUUUGAGAACAUUUUUCUUUGCAUUCUUUGCUAAACCUACAAAAUGUUACAACUAACCAACUUGGACAAAUUAUUACCUCCAACUUUAGUCAUCGUUGUACAGUACUGCCACUUUUUACCCGAAUUACUUCCGUUGGGGUGAGUGGGACAGGGUUUGAAUAAUUUACAUGGCAGGCCGGGUUUGUUCCUUUGUUUUUUUUUCAGAAAACUGAUUGGAGCGACAUACAACUUCAGCCUAACAACAAUCGAUCUUCGGAUAAAAACAACAUCAGUGAACUGAUGUCCAAUCAAAUUAACUGCCAUACUGCACACAAGCGAAAAUUGCAUCAUGUGUUAGAAGAACUCAAAACGAACUCCAACUCCAACCAAGUAAGCUACAAUGUAAACUAACAUUUGUUUAUCUUUCAUCUCAUUAGAAUUAAAUCUAAAUACAAAUUAAUUCUCUCGAAUUAGUAUCUUCGUGAGCAACGAUCUAUGUUUUUUCUUCUCGGAGAAAUUAGAUUCUUAUCUAUGUGUACCUUCUGAAAACGACGGAAACUAAUUAAAUUCGUGUACGUAAAACUAACUAAAACCAACCCUUUCCAAUGCAUAACGAUUUCUCUCGGCCCAGCCUGAAAUUUGCUAAACCUGAUACGUGUUCGAAACCAAGGUGAGCAAAUAUUCAGGUGUGUCGACGAGCGGUCACAUUCGUCGCUCCUCCUUCUGGGGGUUAGUUUGGUUAUGCAGGCAUACAGGCACACGGGCACUAGGUUUCGUGGCUCCACACCUUCGGCUCCGAAUGGCUUCCUGCACGCUGAUGACUAUACUAACAGUGCAUUAGGUGUGGCGCACCAAUUGAAGAUGUCAUCAGAGAACUCGUGUUUGGUGGGGGAAGCACGAUUAUUUCUCAUUUACUAUCCAAAGCGAAGCUGUUGCCCAGGUACUGCGCGCUUCUUGCUGCAAGAAUGCCAUUGGGCCAUCGAGCGGAGUGCUCAAGUCGGCAGCACCGGUACCGCAAAUAGCAUUCCAAUUUCCUACUUCCUGCCACCUUCUGCCACCGUCAACUGUUACACAGUAACUCGGUGUGGUGACUGUUCACCACGAACCAUCAUCGUUCGGAUAUAACCUUCCCGAGAAAGCUUUAACCCCCGCGCAGUGGACGGGUUACACAUUCAGUAGAUAGAUUGGAGAACGACAAACACCAAAUGGAGGUGUGGGGAAUACUAGGGCAAUAUCACAUACUGUGUGUUAGGCUCUUGAAACACCCAUUCAGGCAAAGAUGUUGUACUGCACGCAACGCAUGCAGAGCGAAGACAGGCAAAAGGAUGUUAGAAAAGUAAUUUCCGCUCUCACUAUCUGCACAUAAAGCAUCGCAAGCACUAGGAACGAGUCCAGCAAUGACUGUCACAUUUUUCGGGAAAGCCAGAUUGUAAUGUCACGUGCCUCUGUGUUGAUGCUUCAUUGGAGAGACAGGACGCGGAAAUGUAGCUCAGGCUCGCUCAAAAAGGCAAAAGAAAACCGAUUAACACACGCCAUGAACAUGACGCCAUCAACUAUCGAUCUUCAAGUAACGGCACCGCUAUCUCACGCACAUUACAGGAUUCGACAGUUUCGCUUGGAAUCCGCGAGUGUCACAAAGUCUCGCCCGCCAUUGGACACAAGGCUGUAGGGAAGGCAAUAGCGACACUACGACUGUGCCAAAUUAGAUUAGUUAAAGGCGUAAUUCAAUUAGAAUAGCAAACUCCGAUGUAUUGCUUCGUGGUGUAGGGGCGUGAAAGAGUAUUUUGAGACAUGUUAACGCGACGAUUAGAAUCCGAAAUUAUUAAUUAUUUGGCUACAACAUACUUAUUCGAAUACAUAGCACAUGAGCUGCGAAAUAAAUUAUUAACAUGA